CACCGAUGAGGAGCUUGCUCCCUGAGUAUUAGCCGCAGACGUGUGAGUAACACGUGGGCAACCUGCCUAUAAGACUGGGAUAACUUCGGGAAACCGGAGCUAAUACCGGAUACGUUCUUUUCUCGCAUGAGAGAAGAUGGAAAGACGGUUUACGCUGUCACUUAUAGAUGGGCCCGCGGCGCAUUAGCUAGUUGGUGAGGUAAUGGCUCACCAAGGCGACGAUGCGUAGCCGACCUGAGAGGGUGAUCGGCCACACUGGGACUGAGACACAGCCCAGACUCCUACGGGAGGCAGCAGUAGGGAAUCUUCCGCAAUGGACGAAAGUCUGACGGAGCAACGCCGCGUGAACGAAGAAGGCCUUCGGGUCGUAAAGUUCUGUUGUUAGGGAAGAACAAGUACCAGAGUAACUGCUGGUACCUUGACGGUACCUAACCAGAAAGCCACGGCUAACUACGUGCCAGCAGCCGCGGUAAUACGUAGGUGGCAAGCGUUGUCCGGAAUUAUUGGGCGUAAAGCGCGCGCAGGUGGUUCCUUAAGUCUGAUGUGAAAGCCCACGGCUCAACCGUGGAGGGUCAUUGGAAACUGGGGAACUUGAGUGCAUAACAGGAAAGUGGAAUUCCAAGUGUAGCGAUGAAAUGCGUAG
rnacentral:rRNA from 1 species